CUCGAUUAAGCGGGUUUGAUGGAUAUUUUUACCAUCCUUGUUGAGGCCACUUGAUUUCGGAUGUCCUUGAGGCUACCUCCAUCUAUAUUUUCUUUUCGUUUGGUUAUACGAAUUGCAAGUAUCACCUGUUUAAAACUAAAGUUUGAUUAUAUACCUGCAUAAUAUUUACACAAUUAAUGAAUUCUCACAACUUAUACCAAAGCAAAACAUUAAACUACUCCCGAGGGCCAGUCAUAGAAAAAGGAAUCCAAAUAGUUAAAGUGGUUAGAUUGAGAAUGAGUCUACGUCCAAUCUUACAAGACUUAUUCGCGUUACUAAUUCUUAUUCUUGAAUUCUUUCACCCAAUGUUCAUUAGCAACCUAUUGUUGGAUGAAAAUAAUCGUAUAUGUCAUAAAAAGGUCAAAGACUAAGAGUAUACCAAUAUUGUAGUCAUACACUAGUAACUAGUUGGAGUGUUCCACACCAAGUAUUGGAAACUAAUAUUUGAACAAGCUAGUCAACUGGUUAACAAAGUCGACCAAAUCAAAUUAUAGGGUUGCAUAAUUGUAAAGAUUUGAAACUUGGGAUAGUAUAAUAUAAGAGUUGUGCUAUGUGUACAGCAGAGGGGUUUACAGAACCCCUUCAGAGCACACACAAUAGUGGUGAUGGAUGGAUUUUCUAAUAAUAUUUUACUCACAUGGGGCCCUCCCAUGUGAGUAUUUUGGAGGGGUUCUGUUUAUCCCUCCCUUGUACACACAGAUUAGUUCAUGAUAUAAUUGUUUUGAGAAUAAAUAUUGUGAAAAAAAAAAAUUAGAAUGCGUGGUUAGUAAAUAGGAAAAAAAAGACCACGAGUCCACGUGCACAAAUAUAAUAUUAAAAGAAUGAUUCUUUGAAAACAAAUUUAAGAAAAAAAUGAGAUUUAACAAAAUAUGCACAAAACUUGGGUUUGAUUGUCAAAAGUAAGAUUUUACAUUGUUUAGAUUUUGUGAAUGUUUUGUCUCAAAAUUGUUAUAAAAUUUCAUGUUGCUUAAAUAUAAAAAUAAUAAUCGAUGUGCUCUUAAAAGCUUACAAUUUGAUCUUAUCGUUUAGUUAUGCUUUAUGCUUUUAGAACAUUGCAAUUAUUUAUUUUGGCAUGCUCGACCUGCUUCAUUAGUUCAACAUAACUAAUUUACAGUCUAUAUACCUUUCAAUGCUCUAAGAGAUUUAGCAUUAUGGUUAUUGUUUGUGAUAUCAUGCUUCAAACCGUCUGCCUUAUAUCUCUAUAUCCAGGCGACAGCAAGCUCACUCCAUUAAAUUGAUCCUCUUUCUUCCAUAAGCACCAAAUCAAAGACUGCUCGUCUAGCCAUUUCUAAAGAAGGGCUCCACCAAGUUGUGAUACGCUCGAUAUGUCCAUGCUUUUCCUUAACAAUUUUUGAAGCAGGAUGGUGUGGUUCAUAGCCCUCAUAUUAAUCUGAUCACCCACCAUUUCUUCUCCUUUAACUAACUAAACAGGCCUUCUAGUAGUACUAUACUUAACUCGUUUAGCAUGAAAAUGCAUAUGAAGUACAUAUAUAUAAAUUAUACUAGUACAUCACUGUUAUUGAUCAAGAAAAUUGUACACCAGAAGUUAUUCUAUCAAUUUUUCGUAGUUCAUAGGCAUUGAGAAAGUGAAAAAUAUUAGUAUUUUUCUCUCCCUCAGAUGGCGCUUAUUUGCACAUUUAUCCUAAACCCUAAUAGUAACACAUAUAUAUGCUACUUAUUUCUUAAAACAAACUCUCGACUUUUAACUAAACUAGGUUACAUAUUCAUGCUGCUGGUGCUAUGCCUGAGUCAUCGUCGUCGUCGUCAUCGUCGUCACCAUCGCCUUCAUUUCUCCCACAUAUGUGGAGAUAAACUGCUGCAUCAGCUUCAUUGCUAGUCAACUUGGGGUAACCCAUCAGCUUCUCAGCACAAAAAAUCACCAUUUUGAUAUAUCUCGAUCUACAGAACGAGGCAAUACUCGAAGUAUAUUAGGGCUAGAGCAAUAGAAUUCCCCCAUUUAUAGCUUCAAAAACCGAUAGCAUUUCAAAUUUUUAGCCCAUUUGGGAUUUGCUUUCACUCAAAAUUAUUCUUUCUUUUAAGAUAACUUUUUACUCUCGUGAAUCUUAUACGUAGGGCACAAAUUCACAUUGUG
rnacentral:lncRNA from 1 species